ACAAGACAAACUGCUGAGAUGGCUCUUGUUAAUUCAUUCAGUUGGUGUUUUAAUAAUACGAACAAAUUAAGUGUAACGAGGACCCGUUGGAGAGCACAAAGCUUUUGGAAGCUGAGGUGAGAGUUGCCAUGGCUUUUGUGAUUUCACAGCGGUACAGAGAAUUACAGUGGAAAUGUCAGUUGGAAAAUUAACAUAAAUGGCAUCAAGGAGCCUAUAACAAUCUGUUAGUGAAAUCUGUGGGACUGAGUUUGGCGUUUGCAGUGUGAAUAAAACAUGAGAGAACAAGAGCUCCAUUUCCAUGCAGUGAGCUUUGAUGACAACAAUGUACAUUGUCACAUACACCUGACAUUCUGGAAGCUGUGGUGAGCCUGCUGAGGUUGAGAAGCAAGGAGCAACCUGCCCAGGCUUGCACUCAUGCUCUGGAAGCAAAGUGCAAAAUGCCUCACCUAUUGCUCUGCUAGUACAAGGGACAGGAAAUGGCCUUGUGAACAAGGGAAAAAAAUGCAGCAAUUCUGUCUUCAUACUUCGCUACUAAGAAAUCCCAGCAGACGAAGAAGAUGGCUAGAACAGUAAUGAUGAAGAGUGGCAAGGCUCUCUGAAAAUUCAAGCUGCAGGCUGCAAUAACCGCUGCCAAGUAAACUGCCACAGAAACAAAAGUAUACAUGUCAUUUAUGUCUUGUCUCUUUAUAGAGAGAAUCAAAUAUUAAAUUCAGUUAUAAGGGCAUGGGUUAAA